rnacentral:rRNA from 1 species
GCAUGGUACAGCAAUUAAAGGAGUAAUCCGCUAUGAGAUGGACCCGCGUCGCAUUAGCUAGUUGGUGAGGUAACGGCUCACCAAGGCGACGAUGCGUAGCCGACCUGAGAGGGUGAUCGGCCACAUUGGGACUGAGACACGGCCCAGACUCCUACGGGAGGCAGCAGUGGGGAAUAUUGCACAGUGGGGGAAACCCUGAUGCAGCAACGCCGCGUGAGUGAUGACGGUCUUCGGAUUGUAAAACUCUGUCUUUGGGGACGAUAAUGACGGUACCCAAGGAGGAAGCCACGGCUAACUACGUGCCAGCAGCCGCGGUAAUACGUAGGUGGCAAGCGUUGUCCGGAUUUACUGGGCGUAAAGGGAGCGUAGGUGGAUAUUUAAGUGGGAUGUGAAAUACUCGGGCUUAACCUGAGUGCUGCAUUCCAAACUGUAUAUCUAGAGUGCA